UAAUUGAUAAUAUAUAUUCUAUUUAAAAUUUGUCUAAUUCUGGCUUAAAUGAGUGGAGGGUAUGUUGCUGGUGGCAUAUUUGGCUGUACAGUAUUUAUAAGAGAAAUGGUUUUGUCAUUGAACAGUUGAUGCUGGCAGGAUGGGUAGGAUGGUGAGUGGGAUGGGAUCAGGUGUGAACAAUUUGCAGAAUAUGGUAGGGUACAAGAGGUGGGUGGACACAGUUUGUAAUUAGGGUGUUAAUGUGUGUGUGUUGAUUCCCCCCUCUUCCCAUCACCAAGCCAAGCAUUGAAAUAGGUGGUUAUUCAGUGAGUGUAUUUGUUGGUACUCUAAAUGAUAAUUCAUGAGCACUAUACAGUACACUGGUGUGCUGCUGUGGAUAACUGCUAAUAUAUGGGGUGGUAGGUUAUUGUGAAUAAUAAUUUUUUUUAACCUUUAUGCAAAUUGUCCUUUUUUCUCCAGGCUGAUUUCUUUUCACCAUUAAAUCUGGGCACGUGGUAAUGAGGAGGAAGUCUAAAUGUGUACAAAUACAAAUAUAAUUUUUGUGCUGAAACAUUUUUGUUUUUUCUAAGAAAUGUUGAUCUGGAUGUGUGAUAGUACAUAAGCUGUGCUAUAUUAGCCUUAUCAUGAUGAUAUCAGCGUGUCAGCUGAAAAGUAUGAUGUAUUCUAUCUUAAGUUCUGAUGUUAUUUGCACAAUGUAGAAUUUUUUUGUUUUAUUUUAUUUUACAACUGAUCUUUCUCUUCCACAGGCGUGUCGGGUAUAUACAGGGUGAUCAUUGUUAUAUUGUCUACUAGUCUCUACUAGUGAUAUGCUUAUCUAGUAUCUUUUGAACAUCCUGCAACUUUGAUAGUGGUGCAGUCUCCUGGGCUUGGCAGGGAGAUACAGUACUUGACAAGUUCCUUGUGCAUAAUCUCGCAGAUUUAUGACGAUGGGGACCCAAGCAUUUUGGUUCUCGAAUGACCCUGUGAAUGCUGCUGCUAUGAAAAUCAUUUGUAAUUACCUAAGUGUAGUUACAGGAUGAGAGCUACGCUCGUGGUAUCCCGUCUUCCCAGCAAUUUGUGCCUAUGUCACUGUGUCAUCUCGUAAAGUGAUUACUUUUUUGGGUAUCUGCAACUUGGAACAAUUAGUAAUUGAUAUUACAGAUAACAAACUACUCAUAAAUAUGGUCUUCCUCCUAUCACAAUCAUUGGGGGGGGGGUAGGAAAUUGCUUUGGCCAAAUGUGCUUAACUAAUGGCACGUAUGACAACAAUGCCCUGCUCAUCCUUGGCCCACUUACAGUUGUGUGUAACCUCAGUUUUAGGAUUAUAGUAAGUCUUGCAUUACCAAUGUCCCUCUGAUUUUGUACCUCAAUAAAAUAUUUUGGGAAUCUGAUACUUUUUAUCUCUUUCUUGUCUUUUUGCUCUCAUAUUGGCAUCUCCGGUGAAACUUGGGAGCUUUUGAAUAUCCUGUGAGAUGGAUGGAAGUCAUCAAGCCAGAAUGAUUGUCUUGUAAAAUUCAAGGAUCUGCACAAUGUAUUAAUAUUUCCAAAGUAGUAUUUUUAAUCAUAACUAAUGUAUUUAUUUUAGACGUGCUGUCCUGUUCAGUAUUUACAAAAACUAAUCUGCUAUAGAUAUGUGUAUACACUACAGUUAUUAUAUUAUACCUUCUUACUCUUUAAUUUAAACUGGCAAUCUACAUUUGUGAAAGCAGAUAUGGGAUGUAAUAGCAGAAUAAUUAUUGCCUACACAAGUGUUCUUGCCGUGUCUUGGAUAUAGUACAAUAUCCUUGUCCUUGUUACAUUCCAGUAAGCUAAACAUAAAUAAAAUUCAGUGUAGAUCAGGCUGCAUCGUUCUGUUCUCUCUGUCAUCAUUUUUAACAAAAUCUUUCAACAUUGUCAUUACUUCAUUGUCAAAUUCUUGUGGAGUUUGCCGGACGCCUGUAAAACAUGUAAAUUUUUAUUGGAAUUUAUUAGAAGCUAGACAAUAUAUCUUGUUAGAUUGGCAUUUUUAUACACAAUUUUUGAAUGUAACAUUAAUUGGUAUAAGACAAAUUCUAACCACUUUAGGUGAAUUGCCCAACUGAUACAGAUCCGAAGGAUCUCAUUACAAUUUCAUACUGGCUUACUGCUUUCUUUAUUUUGAUCACAGCUACAUAAUUUCAUAAAUACUGUAUGAAAAACACAAUAAAAUUAUAAAUCACC